UCCAUGGGUUGAUAAUACAAUGUGAAGCGAGGUGUUUUCUGCCACCUUUACGUUGCCUUCAGUGAUAUCAGAACCUCCAGCACUUACGACACACUACAGUGAUACAGCAAGCUACAGCAGAGAGAUCCGUGUCAAGCUGUCUGCUGCAUUCAUAUCUCCAAAUCUCGAUCUUUUGCUUUCACACAGAAAAAGAUUCCAAAACUUCCAGAAAAUCAAGAAAAUAGGACUUUGAGCUAUGGCAAAUAGUAGUCAUACUUGGGCAUUCUGGGUGUGACAUGAGGCUUGUAAUACCAAUAUUUUUGAGUCUGAAUGUGUUGUAUCCUCUACUGAAAAACAAGAAAGAACAGAGACAAGCAAUGACCAAGAGGUGAUUUUUGCCCAUGCUGAUGGUUCCCCUCCCUACACACUCAGACACACACUUGUCACUGCUACUGAAAUAAGAAUUCUGGGUGAAGGGAAGAAGACGGAGG